GAGCAUAACAGGUUUGUCUUACAGAACCAUACCAACUCAAUACACACUAGAUAUGACUCCUAAAUACUUGAAAUAUUUUUUAAUUGUUGAUCUGGAUAAUUACUUGGUACAUACUGAAGAGAGAACAAUAGGCUAAAUAAAGUAGUAGGGUUUAACUUACCAAAGCACUUGUACUAUAAACAAGUAGAGCACCCCCUCCAAGAAGGUUUGUCUUACAGAACCAUACCAACUCAAUCCACACUAGAUACAACUUAUAAAUACAUGAAAUAUUUUGUAAUGUUGAUCUGGAUAAUUACUUUGUACAUACUGAAGACAGAACAAUAGACUAAAUAAAACAGUAGGGUUUAACUUCCCAAAGCACUUGUGCUAUAAACAAGUAGAGCACCCCCUCCAAGAAUAGCAGCUAGGGUCACUGCCCAUAUCA
rnacentral:lncRNA from 1 species